AGGGCCGCGGUAAUUUGACCGUGCGAAGGUAGCAUAGUCAUUAGUCUUUUAAUUGGAGGCUUGUAUGAAUGGCUUGAUGAGAAACAUUCUGUCUUUCUUUAUUAUAUGAAUUUAACUUUUAAGUGAAAAGGCUUAAAUUUCCUGGGGGGACGAUAAGACCCUAUAAAAUUUUAUACUUUUAAAUUUUAUUUAAAAAUUUAGUUUAACUUUGUUUUUUUUAUAGUAUUUUGUUGGGGAGACAAUGAUAUUAUGUUAACUGUCAUUAUUAAUAUAAUAAUUAUAAUUAGUUUAUGAUCCUUAAUUAGAGAUUUAAAGAUUAAAUUACUUUAGGGAUAACAGCGUAAUUUUCUUUGAGAGUUCUUAUCGAUAAGAGUAGUUGCGACCUCGAUGUUGAAUUAAGGUGUUAGGCGGGUGUAGCAGCUUGUCCRGUGGGUCUGUUCGACCUUUAAAAUCUU
rnacentral:rRNA from 1 species